rnacentral:piRNA from 1 species
UAAUGAUUGAAGAAUGUGGAGGCUUGGACA